rnacentral:rRNA from 1 species
GAUGAACGCUAGCGGCAGGCUUAACACAUGCAAGUCGAGGGGCAGCAUAAGUACUUGUACUUGAUGGCGACCGGCGGACGGGUGAGUAACGCGUAUGGAAUCUACCUUUUACAGGGGGAUAGCCCAGAGAAAUUUGGAUUAAUACCUCAUAGUAUAUAUUUACGGCAUCGUAAAUAUAUUAAAGAUUUAUCGGUAAAAGAUGGCCAUGCGUUCUAUUAGCUAGAUGGUAAGGUAACGGCUUACCAUGGCUACGAUAGAUAGGGGCCCUGAGAGGGGGAUCCCCCACACUGGUACUGAGACACGGACCAGACUCCUACGGGAGGCAGCAGUGAGGAAUAUUGGACAAUGGGCGAGAGCCUGAUCCAGCCAUGCCGCGUGCAGGAAGACUGCCCUAUGGGUUGUAAACUGCUUUUAUACAGGAAGAAACCUCCCGACGUGUCGGGACUUGACGGUACUGUAAGAAUAAGGAUCGGCUAACUCCGUGCCAGCAGCCGCGGUAAUACGGAGGAUCCAAGCGUUAUCCGGAAUCAUUGGGUUUAAAGGGUCCGUAGGUGGAUAAUUAAGUCAGGGGUGAAAGCUUAUAGCUCAACUAUAAAAUUGCCUUUGAUACUGGUUAUCUUGAAUCAUUAUGAAGUAGUUAGAAUAUGUGGUGUAGCGGUGAAAUGCAUAGAUAUCACAUAGAAUACCAAUUGCGAAGGCAGAUUACUAAUAAUGUAUUGACACUGAUGGACGAAAGCGUGGGGAGCGAACAGG